UUAGAUGAAAUUGAAAUUGUACAUCAUAAUCCAUAUGUUAUAUAGUUUUACAACAUCAAAAACUUUGAACAUUGAUAUUUAAUGGUGAGAAAGAAAUCUUCUGACCCAUUCCAAUCGGGCAACAGAAGGUAAACUAAAGAAAACGAUCAUUUGAGUUGGAUGAUCUGGAAUUUUACUCAAAGCAUCAUACCGCUGAUCGUCGGUUAAACCUUCAAUUGACCAUAAGGCUGAAUAUAAAUUUGAAGCUUUCUCUUCCAUCUUUUGAUGUUCUUCUGACUUCUACUGAACUACCACCUCGGAGGCAAUACUCCUACUGAUUUGAUCGCCAACGGCCUGGAUUUUUUCCCCCAACAAAGUGGCAGCCUCAUCAAAUGAAGAAUACACAUUAUCAUGAGCAUCAGAUUUCUUCUUUCUCUUGUUUGAAGAUGAGGAACCCCCUUGGUCUCUAUCUCCUCGCGG
rnacentral:lncRNA from 1 species